UGAGCAACUGCGGUCACGUGAGCACUGUUUUCGCUGGGCUCUGGCAGUGGCUUCUUCCCGGAGUUGCAGUCACUGUCGUCUCUCGGUCUCCCGUCGGCCCGAUGGAGGAGGAGGAGGAGGAAGCGAGGGCGCUGCUGCCUGGCGGCCCCAACGAGGCCGGCAGAGGCGUCCCCAUUACACCCCCUGCCCCCGGGGCGCUGCCGGCUCUCUGCGACCCCAGUCGCCUGGCGCACCGGCUUUUGGUGCUGUUGCUGAUGUGCUUCCUUGGUUUUGGCAGCUAUUUUUGCUAUGAUAAUCCUGCUGCCCUUCAGACUCAGGUUAAACGGGAUAUGCAGGUGAAUACCACGAAAUUCAUGCUGCUGUAUGCCUGGUAUUCUUGGCCCAAUGUAGUUUUGUGUUUCUUUGGUGGCUUUUUGGUAGACCGCGUGUUUGGAAUACGAUGGGGCACCAUUAUUUUUAGUUGCUUUGUUUGCGUUGGACAGGUUGUUUUUGCUCUGGGUGGACUAUUUCAUGCUUUUUGGCUGAUGGAAUUUGGAAGGUUUGUGUUUGGGAUUGGUGGGGAGUCCUUAGCAGUUGCCCAGAAUACAUAUGCUGUGAGUUGGUUUAAAGGCAAAGAAUUAAACUUGGUGUUUGGACUCCAGCUUAGCAUGGCUAGAAUUGGAAGUACAGUAAACAUGAACCUCAUGGGAUGGCUGUAUUCUGAGGUUGAAGCUUCGUUGGGUUCUGCUGGUCACACAACCCUUGGGGUCACACUUAUGAUCGGGGGUAUAACAUGUAUUCUUUCACUAGUCUGUGCCUUGGCCCUUGCUUACUUGGAUCAGAGAGCAGAACGAAUCCUUCAUAAAGAACAAGGAAAAACAGGUGAAGUUAUCAAGUUAACUGAUGUGAAGGACUUCUCCUUCCCCCUGUGGCUCAUAUUUAUCAUCUGUGUCAGCUAUUAUGUUGCUGUGUUCCCUUUCAUUGGACUUGGGAAAGUUUUCUUUACAGAGAAAUUUGGAUUUUCCUCCCAGGCAGCAAGUGCUAUUAACAGUAUUGUAUAUGUAAUAUCAGCUCCCAUGUCCCCAAUAUUUGGACUUCUGGUGGAUAAAACAGGAAAGAACAUCAUCUGGGUUCUGUGUGCAGUGGUGACCACUCUUGCUUCCCACAUGAUGCUGGCCUUCACUCUGUGGAACCCUUGGAUUGCUAUGUGUCUCCUGGGACUCUCCUACUCGUUGCUUGCCUGUGCAUUGUGGCCAAUGGUGGCGUUUGUAGUUCCCGAACAUCAACUGGGAACUGCAUAUGGCUUCAUGCAGUCCAUUCAGAAUCUUGGGUUGGCAGUCAUUUCCAUCAUUGCUGGCAUGAUAUUGGAUACUUGGGGAUAUCUGUUUUUAGAAGUUUUCUUCAUUGCCUGUGUUUCUUGCUCUGGACACGAAGUCUCAGUGGCCAUGGCUCACGGGCCUAGCCACUCCGCGGCAUGUGGGAUCUUCCCGAACCGGGACACAAACCCAUGUUCCCUGCAUCAGCAGGCGGACUCUCAACCACUGCGCCACCAGGGAGGCCCUCAGAUGUCUUUUAUACUUCGAUAAAUUGUGUUUAAAAUGGCAAGCCCGAGUGAUGAUUUUAUCCGACUUCAUUUUCAUUUACAGGAAUAAAGACUGUCUAUACUUGAGUCUCACUUUUAUCUGUGGUCUUACUCUACUUGGUGAAUCGUGCCCAAGGUGGGAACCUAAAUUAUUCUGCAAGACAAAGGGAAGAAAUAAAACUUUCUCAUGCAGAGUGAGAAGUUUAAAUGACUGUGUCAUGAGAAUGGGCUGCACACAUCAUUGGUUUGAAAACCUCCAAUUUUUUUUUCUUUUAAUUUAGAGUUUAGUUGUUAGGAAAAAUAAUGGUCUGGAGAAUUAUUAUAUUUAUAUUUUGAAUAUAUCUAAUUUAAAGUAUAACUGUGAGGACUAUUUUAGCCUGUGUCUUUUGUAUUGCUGAAGAAUUCUGCUUUGGAAUAGGCUCAUCAAUGAUGAAGUUUAGAAAAUUGCAUCUGGUACAUGCAGGUGAUUUUGAGUAAGGAUAGUAAAUAAUGGAAAUCUUUGGAUCUUGUAUUGAGAUAAUUUUCACAAAGUGUAUCUUAGGGAUAUGGCCUUUAAUCUUAAAGCAAAGAAAAAGCUUUUGAGGGAUUAGAAAGGAUAUUUUAUAGAGAAUAAACAGUGGCAUUUUAAUAGGCAUUCCCUUUUGUAAUAGGGAAUAUUUGAAAGAUAUUUUUAUGAAGUCUCAUUUCUACAAAUAGCAGAUUGUGUUCUGCUCUCUUUAGUUACCAGAGGUUGCUGAGCAGUGACCCUUUUGAGCUUCUUUAUUUCUCUGUUACUGAGGACCCUAAUCCCUUAGGGACAUAAUUUUGUGGUACAAACUUUCUGUACGGUUUUUCUCAUAGUCCAAUUAAUUACUAAAAAACGUCCUGUAAAUUAUGAUAAUUGCAUAUCUACAAGGAUAAAUAAAAACACUGCAAAAGGAA